rnacentral:tRNA from 1 species
GCCUGGGUGGCUCAGUCGGUUAAGCGUCUGACUUCGGCUCAGGUCAUGAUCUCACGGUCUGUGAGUUCGAGCCCCGCAUCGGGCU